rnacentral:rRNA from 1 species
GACGAACGCUGGCGGCGUGCUUAACACAUGCAAGUCGAACGGAAAGGCCCUGCUUUUGUGGGGUGCUCGAGUGGCGAACGGGUGAGUAACACGGGAGUAACCUGCCUUUGACUUUGGGAUAACUUCAGGAAACUGGGGAUAAUACCGGAUAGGAGCUCCUGCUGCAUGGUGGGGGUUGGAAAGUUUCGGCGGUUGGGGAUGGACUCGCGGCUUAUCAGCUUGUUGGUGGGGUAGUGGCUUACCCAGGCUUUGACGGGUAGCCGGCCUGAGAGGGUGACCGGCCACAUUGGGACUGCGAUACGGCCCAGACUCCUACGGGAGGCAGCAGUGGAGAAUAUUGCACAGUGGGCGGAAGCCUGAUGCAGCAACGCCGCGUGCGGGAUGACGGCCUUCGGGUUGUAAACCGCAUUCGCCUGUGACGAAGCGUGAGUGACGGUAAUGGGUAAAGAAGCACCGGCUAACUACGUG